rnacentral:rRNA from 1 species
GAUACCCUAUUAUAAAAAUUUAAAUUAAUUUACUAAAAAAUUAAUAGUUAUGUUCUUUAAAUUUAAAAAAUUUGGCGGUAUUUUAGUCUUAUUAGAGGAAUCUGUUUAUUAAUUGAUAAUCCACGAUUAAUUUUACUUAUUUUAAUUAAUUCAUAUAUCGCUGUCAUGAAUAUAUUUAAAAAUUUAUUUUCUUUAAUUAUUUUAAUAAUUUAUGUUAAGUCAAGAUGUGGUUUAUAAAUAAGAAUAUAAUGGAUUACAUUAAAUUUUAUUUUUGGAUUUAAAAUGAAAAUUAAGAUGAAAUUGGAUUUAAUAGUAAGUUUAAUUAAUUUAUUAAUAUGAAUAAAGAUCUAAAUUAU